rnacentral:rRNA from 1 species
AAACCCUUAACCACUAUUGAAUGACUUCAUUAUUUAAUGAAAGACACUAUGCUUAAACUAGUAACAAGAAUAUGAAAUUCUCCUAAAUGUAAGCAUAAGCCGUGAUAGACAAACCAACGGCAAUUAACAUUAUUAAGCCUAUCACAACAACUUCCAAGAGAAACUUGUAAAUUAUAAUGUUACCCUAACACAAGAACAUUCCAGGAAUGAUUAAAAGGAGAAGAAGGAACUCGGCAAAUUUUAACCCCGCCUGUUUACCAAAAACAUCGCCUUUUGUUAAUAUAUAAAAGGUCCAGCCUGCCCGGUGAUAAUUAAACGGCCGCGGUACCCUAACCGUGCUAAGGUAGCACAAUUACUUGUCCUUUAAAUGGGGACCAGAAUGAAUGGCACCACGAGGGUUGUACUGUCUCCUUCUCCUGAUCAGUGAAACUGACCUCCCCGUGAAAAGGCGGGGAUAAAGAUACUAGACGAGAAGACCCCAUGGAGCUUUAGACAUCGAGCAUCACCAAGACACCCUCCCAUUAGUCUGUAAUCACUGACUCUAAGUCUUAGGCUGGGGCGACCAUGGAGUAAAAAUUAACCUCCAUAACGAAAGGACUCUUCCUUAUUUAAGAGGGAUACCUCUAAAAAACAAAACAUUGACGCCUACUGAUCCGGAAUCCGAUCAAUGAACCAAGUUACCCUGGGGAUAACAGCGCUAUCUGCCUCAAGAGUUCAUAUCGACAGGCAGGUUUACGACCUCGAUGUUGGAUCAGGGCCCCCUAGUGGUGUA